CAUGAGAUUCAUUGAAACAGCUAACUUGUACAGAGCGUGGCCUUAAUAUCGUCACUAAGAUAGCCACCCACGGAUCGCUAUAAAAGGUCAUAUGCUUGAAGGCUUAAGCAUAUGUUCCACGACAAUCCAUUUAAUCACGAAAGCAAAGCUUCCCUAAUGGCUUACACAAUGUGUCUUACCAUUCUUGAUUCAAUCCAAAAUUGCAGACCCGCGACAUUGUUCCCAUCCAAACAAACAAGAGGGAAAGGUGGCGAUGCACCUCAUCCUUUCCAUAGCAUGGCUCUCGUUGCAAACUCAAAUGUUGACUCAACCAAUAUUGUUCGACGAUCUGCAAAUUACCAUCCUACCAUUUGGCAUUAUGAUUACAUCCAAUCAUUAAGAAGCAAAUAUGUGGAGGCGUCAUUCACACAAAAGAUAGGUAAGCUUAAGGGAGAAGUAGCAAUGAUGUUUCAUAAAGUGAUGGAGCCCCUCAAGCUUAUUGAUAUCUUGCAAAGACUUGGAGUAUCUUAUCACUUUGAGGAUGAAAUAAGGAGGAUAUUGGAAAACAAUUACAAUAUUCAUCAUAGUGGUGAUGUUUGCAAGAAGCAAAGUUUAUAUGCCACAGCUGUUGAGUUUAGACUGUUGAGGCAACAUGGAUAUGAUGCACCUCAAGGUAAAAAGCAUACUAGUAAUGCUUUAAAAUAUAUAUAUAUAUAUAUAUAUAUUGGAUUCAUUAUCCCUCAUUUAUUUUUAACAAUUGUUGAGUUUUGUUGAUAGCAGAGACUUUCAAAAGUUUUAUCAACGAAAAUGUGGAUUUCAAAGAAUGUCUUUGUGUUGAUAUCGAGAGAAUUCUAGCUUUGUACGUAUGAAUGGAAAAUUCUUUUUAUCAUCCUCACACUUCACACACUACACUUAUUUUAAUUUUUUUUUCAUUUUUUCUAUAAUAAAUAUGUAGUGUGUAGAUGAUAAAUAAAAUAAUUUAAUUAGUUUAAUAAGAAUAAAAUGAAAUAAAAAAUAAAAAAAAUAGAAAAUAUUAUUUUAAUAUAUAAAGUGUGUGGUGUGGGAUGAUGUGUAGCAUUUCUUUGUAUGAAUUCCCAUUAAAAACUCACUAAUAGUCAUUUUUUUAACCAUUAAAAAGAUAAAAAUAUAUAAGUGAGUAUAUUUGAUAAUCAUACUAUUAUUUUCUUUCUAUUAAUCUAGUUAGAGAAAUAAUCACGUGGGGGCUGGUGAUGAUGCAUCUCGCCUCACCACAUGAUCAGCAGGAAAAAAACAAAUGAACAUGAUGGAAACACAAACAAAGAAUUUAUGCAACAACUCCCGGCACAAACCAAGUUAUUAACUACCACAUGAUUCAAAACAUGACGGUCUCUUAACAUUUUUUUUUUUUCCUUUCGAAAGUGUGGUUUUCAUCUUAAUUUCUUCAUCUGACAGUUAAAAGUAUUGAAACAUUUUGACUUCAAUUAAAAAUGAUAAUAAUAUUUUUAUUAUAUACUAUCUAAUUAUAGAGAUAUAUAGUACUGGUCGGAUCCCAUCAAUAAUUAUUCUGUCGUAGUAGUGAAGGAAUGAUAAUUUUAUUUAUAUAUUUUACCAAUAACCCUUAUAUUAUGAAGAAAUUCUCUCAAUUCAUUUAAAAUUUAAGUUCUCACAUUUUUUUGUUCUCAAUUUAUUUAAUUUGAAUUUUUUUUAAAACGUUAAAUUCUAUCAAUUAUUCUCAUUUACAGUUGUUGUCCCUGUAUGAAUAUAAAAAAUUUAUUCUUGUUAGUAGUCUUGACCCAGUAAGAUAGACCAUUUGCCUUGCCCCCUUUCCUUUCAAUUUUAUUCUUGUUAGUAGUCUUGAACCACCAGAGCAUAAUUGUCUUAAUGGUAGGUCAUGCAGACUGUUUUAUUUUUUGUUUAUAUAGGGGAGAGGGGCCGAAUCUGGUUCUCCGAGAAUAGGUCUUGUGCCAUCACUGUUAAAGCAUCAUGACUUUUACGUGCCUCACCACAUGAUCAGCAGGAAAAAAACAAAUGAACAUGAAAACACAAACAAAGAAUUUAUGCAACAACUCCAGGCAGAGACCAAAUUAUCUACUGAAACAUUUUGACUUCAGUUAAAACCAAUAAUAAUAUUUUUAUUAUUUACUAUCUAAUUAUAGAGAUAGAUGACUUGACACAAUUUUGAUAAUCAUUGACCAAAUCUUAUUAAAUGAAAAAAUUAAAUGAUAUUCUCGAACAUUUUUUCCUUUUCUUGAAAUUAGGUUUUCAUCCUCAAUCUCCAAAUUAUCAAAACUAAAAUAUUAUAGUGAAUCUGGUUCCCCAAGAAUAGGUUUUGUGCCAUCACUGUUAAAGCAUCAUGACUUUUGAGGGUAGAGAUGAGAAUUUUGAAUUUGAGAUGAAAGUUUAAAAUAUUAUUUUUUAAUAUUAUUACUGUUUUGAGAUUUGAAAAUGUUGAAUUGAGAUUUGAAAAAGUUGAAUUGUUUAUUAUAUUUUGUGAUUUUGAGUUUGAGAUGAGAAUUCUCAUCUACCAAACCUGCCCUUAAGUGCCGUGAAAUAAUCUGAAAAUUAAUUAAAUAGUGUAAUUUUAAUACAUCAUUAAUUUUAGUAACUAUUUUAAAUUUAAAUAUUAUUAUUGCCAGGCACCCCAUGCAUGUGAUUUAUAAGGAUUGUUAAAACACAACUUAGUUAAUUAAUAAUAUAUAUAAUUAUAAAUAUAUAUAAAAAAGAAAAAAAAAAGAAAAAGAAAAAGAGAGCAAUUGUUUGCUUAGGUUACAUGUAAUCGUUAAUUUGUUGUAAAAAAUAAUAUGUCAACUAAAUAAUAUAUAAUUUUUUUACUAUUUAAAAUUUAUAUAUUUUUAUUUUUAUAUCAAAAUAAUAUAUUAUUUUCUAAAUAGGUUGGAGGAAAUUUCUUCCAACGUAAUUUAGAGAAAUAAGUUAUGCGGCUAGAAAAGAAUUUGGAAGUUUACGUACGACCGGAAGAAAUUUCAACGGCUACUUUUAUUCAAGGUAGAGUCUAUGUGAGGACCGAGGCUUCAGCAAUUUAGGCGGCUAGAAAAAAGUUUGUAAGUUUACGAGCGAAAGAAAUAUCAACGACAAUUUAUACAACGUAGAGUCCAUGUGAGGACGAUGGAUUAAUUAAAAUGAUAAAGUCUCGUUAAUUAUUUGAAGAGAAUAAAAUUAUUUAAAUUAAUUUAAAAUUUUUAAUAUAAAUUUAAAUCUCGUACUAUUUUAAAUAAUUAAAAUAUAUUAAUUUAAAAUAAUUUUUCACAAUUAUGAUAUUUUUGAAGCUCAUCAAAAUAUUAUAAUUGUGUUAUUUUAAAAACAAAUUUAGUCCGUUAUUGGAAAUAUCAUAUAUAAAUAAUUAAUUGCUUUAAAAUCUGCUUGAUUUCAUUUUUAACACGCCAUCGAGACUCAGCACGUAGAUCGAAACUCGUAAUUAAAGAAGAAAGAAUGAGCGGGUUAUCACAGGUACCCCUCUUUUUGACCCCCGAAACAGAGGAAGUAGUCUUCCCCACCAUGGGCCUCAAGCCAGCCACCCCACACCGCCAGUCUCCUCCACGCCAUCGCCACCUGCACAAAGAGCGUCGCCGAGCACUCACUCUAGGCUCGCCGUCUUCCUCAAGGUAAGUCCAGUCCAUAUGGUUAGGGAAGUUGGAGCAUAUACUGAAGUCAACAAAUUGGAUUUGGAGACCCAAAGUGAUAUAUCUUUUAUGUUUAAAUAGUGGAGUAUACAUAUAAGUGUUAAUGGGGAUGGUGAAAAUAGACCCAUCGCAGAAGAUGCAAAUGGAGCAGCGAAGAAGUAGAUGCAGAGUAUUGCAGAAGCAAAGACGCGCGCAUUAAUGCAUGCUAACGUACACGUGACGAUCAUAUAUAGUUACAUGCACGUUUCAGAAAUGAAAUCGGCUUGAUCUGCAUUGUAUGUAGUGAUGUCAAACUUGAUCAUGUCAUCAAACUUAACCUCAAUUUCCACCACCCGUUCCUCCUGCAUGCGGACGUUCCUGGUCCACACUCUAGCUAGCUACUUUCCAGUACACAAUUAAUAAUUUUGUUUAAGGAAUUUUAAAAUUAAUUACGUACAGUAGUACAACACCAAUUUGACAUAACAUAUAAUUAUAUAUAUAGUAGUUUUUGGCAACUCUUCUCACCGAAUUUUCUCUGUAUUCCAAUCCAACGUGCAAUUUAAUUUUCCAGUCUAGAAAAAGACGUACCCCAACUCUUCUCACAUCUCGGCUCAGCACAUCAGCACAUGAUGAUGAAUAUUCAAACAACAUACGAACGAACAAAGAAUUUAUGCAGCAACUCCCAACAAUUAAAAAUAUCGAAAAUGUGGUUUUAUUUUUAAUUU